rnacentral:rRNA from 1 species
GACGAACGCUGGCGGCGUGCCUAAUACAUGCAAGUCGAGCGCUGAAGCUUGGUACUUGUACCCACUGGAUUAGCAGCGGACGGGUGAGUAACGCGUGGGGCAUCUUCCUUUGAGCCGGGGACAACAUCUGAAAACGACUGCUACUACCGCAUAAUAACUUUAACCACAAGUUUUAAGUUUGAAAGAUGCAAUUGCAUCACUCAAAGGUGAUCCCGCGUUGUAUUAGCUAGUUGGUGAGGUAAAGGCCCACCCAAGGGACGAUACAUAGUCUACCUGAGAGGGUGAAUGGCCACAACGGGACUGGGACACGGCCCAAACUCCCACGGGGAGCAGCAGUAGGGGAACUUCGGCAAUGGAGGGAAGGCUGGACGAGCAAAGCCGGGGGGGGGGAGGAGGGUUUCGGGUCGUAAAACCCUGUUGGUAGGGAAAAACGAUGGGGAGAGUGGAAAGCUCAUCAAGUGACGGUAACUACACAGAAAGGGACGGCUAACUACGUG